rnacentral:rRNA from 1 species
GAUGAACGCUGGCGGCGUGCUUAACACAUGCAAGUCGAACGGAAAGGCUCCUGCUUGCAGGGGUACUCGAGUGGCGAACGGGUGAGUAACACGUGGGUGAUCUGCCCUGCACUUCGGGAUAAGCCUGGGAAACUGGGUCUAAUACCGGAUAGGACGAUGGUUUGGAUGCCAUUGUGGAAAGUUUUUUCGGUGUGGGAUGAGCUCGCGGCCUAUCAGCUUGUUGGUGGGGUAAUGGCCUACCAAGGCGUCGACGGGUAGCCGGCCUGAGAGGGUGUACGGCCACAUUGGGACUGAGAUACGGCCCAGCCUCCUACGGGAGGCAGCAGUGGGGAAUAUUGCACAAUGGGCGCAAGCCUGAUGCAGCGACGCCGCGUGGGGGAUGACGGCCUUCGGGUUGUAAACUCCUUUCGCUAGGGACGAAGCGAAAGUGACGGUACCUGGAGAAGAAGCACCGGCUAACUACGUG